rnacentral:rRNA from 1 species
AUAUUAAAGUUGUUGCGGUAAAAAAGCUCGUAGUUGGAUUUCUGUUGAGAGCGACCGGUCCAUACCAUGUAUGCGUAUCUGGCUUGCUCUCGGCAUCCUCUCGAUAGACGUUGCUGCGCUUGAUUGCGUGGCGCGGACCUCGGGGCUUUUACUUUGAGGAAAUUAGAGUGUUCACGGCAGGCUUUCGCCAGAAUACAUUAGCAUGGAAUAAUACUAUAGGAUCUUGGUUCUAUUUUGUUGGUUUCUAGAAUUGAGAUAAUGAUUAAUAGGGACAAUUGGGGGCAUUCGUAUCAACACGUCAGAGGUGGAAUUCUUGGAUUGUGUUGCGACGAACUACUGCGAAAGCAUUUGCCAAGGAUGUUUUCAUUGAUCAAGAACGAAAGUAAGGGGAUCGAAGACGAUUAGAUACCGUCGUAGUCUUUACCAUAAACUAUGCCGACUAGAGAUGGGGCAUCGUUCAUUUACGACUUGCUCCGCACCUUAUGAGAUGUCAAAGUUUUUGGGUUCCGGGGGGAGUAUGGUCGCAAGACUGAAACUUAAAGGAA